rnacentral:rRNA from 1 species
AUUGAACGCUGGCGGCAUGCUUUACACAUGCAAGUCGAACGGUAACAGCACUUCGGUGGCUGACGAGUGGCGAACGGGUGAGUAAUACAUCGGAACGUGCCUAGUAGUGGGGGAUAACUACUCGAAAGAGUAGCUAAUACCGCAUGAGAUCUAAGGAUGAAAGCAGGGGACCUUCGGGCCUUGCGCUACUAGAGCGGCUGAUGGCAGAUUAGGUAGUUGGUGGGAUAAAAGCUUACCAAGCCGACGAUCUGUAGCUGGUCUGAGAGGACGACCAGCCACACUGGGACUGAGACACGGCCCAGACUCCUACGGGAGGCAGCAGUGGGGAAUUAUGGACAAUGGGCGCAAGCCUGAUCCAGCAAUGCCGCGUGCAGGAUGAAGGCCUUCGGGUUGUAAACUGCUUUUGUACGGAACGAAAAGCCCUCUUCUAAUACAGGAGGGUCAUGACGGUACCGUAAGAAUAAGCACCGGCUAACUACGUG